rnacentral:rRNA from 1 species
UUAAGUUAAUAAGGGCGCACGGUGGAUGCCUUGGCACUAGAAGCCGAUGAAGGACGUGACUAACGACGAAAUGCUUUGGGGAGCUGUAAGUGAGCAAUGAUCCAGAGAUGUCCGAAUGGGGGAACCCGGCAGGUAAUGCCUGUCACUCAUUACUGUUAAGGUAAUGUAGAGGAAGACGCAGUGAACUGAAACAUCUAAGUAGCUGCAGGAAGAGAAAGCAAAAGCGAUUGCCUUAGUAGCGGCGAGCGAAACGGCAAGAGGGCAAACCGAAGAGUUUACUCUUCGGGGUUGUAGGACUGCAACGUGGACUUAAAGAUUAUAGAAGAACUACCUGGGAAGGUAGGCCAAAGAGAGUAAUAGCCUCGUAUUCGAAAUAGUCUUUAUACCUAGCAGUAUCCUGAGUACGGCGAGACACGAGAAAUCUCGUCGGAAUCUGGGAGGACCAUCUCCCAACCCUAAAUACUCUCUAGUGACCGAUAGUGAACCAGUACCGUGAGGGAAAGGUGAAAAGCACCCCGGGAGGGGAGUGAAAUAGAACCUGAAACCGUGUGCCUACAACAAGUUCGAGCCCGUUAAUGGGUGAGAGCGUGCCUUUUGUAGAAUGAACCGGCGAGUUACGAUAUGAUGCGAGGUUAAGUUGAAGAGACGGAGCCGUAGGGAAACCGAGUCUUAAUAGGGCGCAUUAGUAUCAUGUCGUAGACCCGAAACCAUGUGACCUACCCAUGAGCAGGUUGAAGGUGAGGUAAAACUCACUGGAGGACCGAACCAGGGCACGUUGAAAAGUGCUUGGAUGACUUGUGGGUAGCGGAGAAAUUCCAAACGAACUUGGAGAUAGCUGGUUCUCUCCGAAAUAGCUUUAGGGCUAGCGUCGAUGUUAAGUCUCUUGGAGGUAGAGCACUGUUUGGGUGAGGGGUCCAUCCCGGAUUACCAAUCUCAGAUAAACUCCGAAUGCCAACGAGAUAUAAUCGGCAGUCAGACUGCGAGUGCUAAGAUCCGUAGUCGAAAGGGAAACAGCCCAGACCACCAGCUAAGGUCCCAAAAUAUAUGUUAAGUGGAAAAGGAUGUGGGGUUGCACAGACAACUAGGAUGUUAGCUUAGAAGCAGCUAUUCAUUCAAAGAGUGCGUAAUAGCUCACUAGUCGAGUGACCCUGCGCCGAAAAUGUACCGGGGCUAAAACAUAUUACCGAAGCUGUGGAUACCUUUAUAGGUAUGGUAGGAGAGCGUUCUAUGUGCGAAGAAGGUGUACCGUGAGGAGUGCUGGAGCGCAUAGAAGUGAGAAUGCCGGUAUGAGUAGCGAAAGACAGGUGAGAAUCCUGUCCACCGUAAGACUAAGGUUUCCAGGGGAAGGCUCGUCCGCCCUGGGUUAGUCGGGACCUAAGGAGAGACCGAAAGGUGUAUCCGAUGGACAACAGGUUGAUAUUCCUGUACUAGAGUAUAUAGUGAUGGAGGGACGCAGUAGGCUAACUAAACCAGACGAUUGGAAGUGUCUGGCCAAGCAGUGAGGUGUGAUAUGAGUCAAAUGCUUAUAUCUAUAACAUUGAGCUGUGAUGGGGAGCGAAGUUUAGUAGCGAAGUUAGUGAUGUCACACUGCCGAGAAAAGCUUCUAGCGUUAAUUAUACUCUACCCGUACCGCAAACCGACACAGGUAGUCGAGGCGAGUAGCCUCAGGUGAGCGAGAGAACUCUCGUUAAGGAACUCGGCAAAAUGGCCCCGUAACUUCGGGAGAAGGGGCGCUGACUUAUGGUCAGCCGCAGUGAAUAGGCCCAAGCAACUGUUUAUCAAAAACACAGCUCUCUGCUAAAUCGUAAGAUGAUGUAUAGGGGGUGACGCCUGCCCGGUGCUGGAAGGUUAAGAGGAGUGCUUAGCAAUAGCGAAGGUAUGAAUUGAAGCCCCAGUAAACGGCGGCCGUAACUAUAACGGUCCUAAGGUAGCGAAAUUCCUUGUCGGGUAAGUUCCGACCCGCACGAAAGGCGUAAUGAUUUGGGCACUGUCUCAACGAGAGACUCGGUGAAAUUUUAGUACCUGUGAAGAUGCAGGUUACCCGCGACAGGACGGAAAGACCCCAUGGAGCUUUACUGCAGUUUGAUAUUGAGUAUCUGUACCACAUGUACAGGAUAGGUAGGAGCCUAUGACCUCGGGACGCCAGUUUCGAGUGAGGCGUUGUUGGGAUACUACCCUUGUGUUAUGGCUACUCUAACCCAGAUAGGUUAUCCCUAUCGGAGACAGUGUCUGACGGGCAGUUUGACUGGGGCGGUCGCCUCCUAAAAGGUAACGGAGGCGCCCAAAGGUUCCCUCAGAAUGGUUGGAAAUCAUUCGCAGAGUG